GAGCCAGAGCCAGGAUUUAAGCGCCUGGCUUGGGGCCAGCCUGUGGGCCUGAGGCAUACAGGCUACGUCAUUGAGCUGCAGCGUGUUGUCAAGGUGAGAGCCAGCUGCAGCCUUCCUACUGCAGUGCCUGCUGGGGCCAGGAUGUGAGUGUAGCCUGCAAUCCUGGUUGUGGUUCCUGGGUCUAAUUGCUGCUCCCCUCCCCGCACUUCAGGGCCCCCGUGGUUGUGUAGAGAGUCUGGAGGUGACCUGCAGACGGGCAGAUGCUGGAGAGAAGCCAAAGGCCUUUAUUCACUGGGUGUCACAGCCUUUGAUGUGUGAGGUUCGCCUCUAUGAGCGACUAUUCCAGCACAAGAACCCUGAAGAUCCUACUGAGGUGCCUGGUGGAUUUUUAAGUGACCUGAACCUGGUAGGUUCGUGAGGUUUGGGGUGAGGGAGGUAGGCCUCCCUGGUUGGAUGGUUGCCUGAGUUCCCUGCCUGCAGGCAUCACUACACGUGGUGGAGGCAGCAUUAGUGGACUGCUCUGUGGCCCUGGCAAAACCCUUUGACAAGUUCCAGUUUGAGCGUCUUGGAUACUUCUCCGUGGAUCCAGACAGCCAUCAGGGAAAGCUUGUCUUUAACCGAACUGUCACACUGAAGGAAGACCCGGGAAAGGUGUGAGCUGGAAACACUGAACCUACCUCAUCCUCCUGGAGGGUGGGGCUACCCUCGCUACCCCAAAUUCCAUGUCAAUAAAGAACAGCUAAAUUCUCCUA
rnacentral:sRNA from 1 species